rnacentral:rRNA from 1 species
GCGCAGCAGUCGAGAAUCCUCCGCAAUGCGGGAAACCGUGACGGGGUCACCCCGAGUGCCACCCGAUGAGGGUGGCUUUUCCCCGGUCUAAAAAGCCGGGGGCAAUAAGCGGGGGCAAGUCUGGUGUCAGCCGCCGCGGUAAUACCAGCCCCGCGAGUGGUCGGGACGUUUAUUGGGCCUAAAGCGUCCGUAGCCGGCUCGGUAAGUCCCUCCUUAAAUCCACGGGCUCAACCCGUGGGCUGGGAGGGAUACUGCCGGGCUAGGGGGCGGGAGAGGCCGAGGGUACUCCCGGGGUAGGGGUGAAAUCCGUUAAUCCCGGGAGGACCACCAGUGGCGAAGGCGCUCGGCUGGAACGCGCCCGACGGUGAGGGACGAAAGCUGGGGGAGCAAAGGGGAUUAGAUACCCGGGUAGU